rnacentral:tRNA from 1 species
GCCGCAGUAGCUCAGAGGUUGAGCCGAGGGGACCACAAUGCCCCAAGGGACGCCGGUUCGAAUCCGGCCUGCGGUGCCA